rnacentral:lncRNA from 1 species
AGAGACGUUCUAUCUUAGUAUAAAUAAGUUAUAAAUGAGCGAUGGGGCCCAAGAAAUUAACUACUAUAGCUGGUCAGGGUAGCGUCAGAUGGGGAAGAAGCGGCGUCAUAAGCAGAGGGAGAGGUUUCCGUCCGCCACGGCCUGCUGGCGACGGCUGAUGAGCCCCGCUGGGCAGGCCAUGGCCAUUUCAGAGUUUGCAAAGCUGGCGGAGAUUGUGUUUGUGAUGGUGCCAGGGUCAGUGGAGGAUGAGAGGCGGUUCUCAGCAAUGUCUUUCGUCAAGAAUAAGCACCGCAACCNN